UACAACCAUAUCACAUUGAAACACCAGUUCUCUUAUGAUCACCAAAGUUAAGCAAUGUUGAACUUGGUCAGUAUCUAGAUGAUUGACCCUGUGGGAAUAGUAGGUGCUGUAUG